UAAAUGUUUUUUUCGCAAAUUUACUUUUUAUACAGUAUGUUGUAACGUUUCCCUAACUUUCUGCAAAAGUGUUGUGUUUUGUGAACAAUCUGACGCCGGCUGAGUCAAGGCUGCACGCACAGUAGGUAGCGGUAAUGCACACACAAGGUUGCUUGCCAACCGCCAUAAAAAUCAGAAGAAGAAGAAGAAGACUGCACGCGUGCACAAUUGAAGCUGCUCCGUGAGACAAAGAAGGACGAAGGCUAACUACUUCCAGAAUCCCGAUUUUAAAGCAAUUUGGUGCGCCAUCCAUUUAUCACAAGUUGGCUGUUAUAAAGUUUCCAAACUGACCAAAGACCAACGAAUGACUUCUGAAGAAGGGUGGAUUUAUUUGUAGUUUAGUUAAACAAUAAUUUGCCCCGUCAGUGAUAUGAUUUGAAUGCUGCCUGAACGUUCCGAAUUUGGCAGACACGGUGAGGACAAUGCUGAGGAAAAUUGCCACAAACAAAGUCCUGGAGCAGCUUGGCCUCCGUGGAAAGUCAGGAAAAGUGGCGUUUGAAGACUUGCCCCUUUACAGAAUAAUAAAUAAGGCAUGCAGGGGUGUUUACAAGCAGAUGACCACAGCUGAAGUGGAUUGUGAGCUUGGAGAGGUCCUGAAACUGGCCACUUUUCAAAAGGGAGGUUCAAAAUUUGAGGAGAAGAGGAGGAAUUAAGAGGGAGGACAAAAAAGGAAAAAGAAACAAGCAAAAGAACAGAGUGAGAUGAGAGAAUAAACACAAUAUGAAGAAGUUUCAACAGAGGGCUUAUAAGCGUAGAUGGGCUGCCACAACUAGGCAUUUGAAGAAGCAAUGCCGACAGUCAACUUUAGAAUUAGAGAGUGAUGAUAGCGAGCAAAAGAAUGACACGACAUCAACUCCAGAAACAGUGACAAAGUACAUGGAUGCUGUGUGCA